ensembl:lncRNA
CAUUCUUGUACUGCAUGAGAAAAGCACAGUCAUAUGUUUAAACAGCCCCACCCUGCCGGAGUGGCUGAUAUCUUGGUAGGCUUAACUCCUGGCAAAUCCUAUAGUUGGUGGCAGCAGCGGCAGCGAUGACAUGCCUUCGGAUUAGUUGCAGAACACACAGCCUUUAGCGGACCAAGGGUUGAGGAGAGCGGAACGAUGGAGAAGCUGCAAAAGAAAGGGUUGUUUGCUGGAAUAAAGCUGAAGAAGAAGAAGAAAGGAGAGAAGGGAUUAACGAUAACAAACAAAGGAGCAGUGGGUGAGCCUGAUGACACCGAUAGCCUACAUCAGGAGUUCCUUACAGGUCAAGAUGGGGAAGAGGGCGAAAAUAUGUAUGACGACUCAGCCUCCACCAGUAGCUUUGGUGCCUCAGGGCCUCCCCAGAAGAGGUAUUGUGCUGCAGGGUCACAAAAUGGCCUCCCAGUCCCUCUGCCCUUGAGGAAGGCACUGCUGCUGUUGACACGGUCAAUGACAGAACACCAGUGUGCUCAAAUAGCUUAUCUCUUGGUCAUUGUGCUUAUCCACAGUCCAACGGGAUGUCCUUGUCAGCAAAAUGUUGUCGCCACGAGACAGAACUGUCACUAGAUGGAAAGUCUGGGGUAGGAGAGAAUGAUGGGAGGAGAACCAGGAAUAGGCCCUGUCAACAAACAUGGCGUGGAGAAUGGACAGUAAUUGUCACAGCCUUUCAUAGAAACAAAGAGAUCAAUGGUCUUGGAUGUAGACUUUGUUGUUGUCAGAAUAAGGGCAGCUGCUGACUCCAGUGGAAAUUGGACCAGACUUCAAAAUCUAUUUUAUAGCGAAAGCUGCAGAGUAAAUGGAGCGAAGUUUCUCUGUCAGUGAUAUAAAGUGAAG